AGUAAAUAGAUACCCCGGUAGUCCACGCCCUAAACGAUGUCAACUAGUUGUUCGGUGAGGAGACUCAUUGAGUAAACGCAGCUAAACGCGUGAAGUUGACCGCCUGGGGAGUACGGCCGCAAGGUUAAAACUCAAAGGAAUUGACGGGGACCCGCACAAGCGGUGGAUGAUGUGGAUUAAAUUCGAUGCAACGCGAAAAACCUUACCUACCCUUGACAUGCCAGGAACUUGCCAGAGAUGGCUUGGUGCCCGAAAGGGAGCCUGGACACAGGUGCUGCAUGGCUGUCGUCAGCUCGUGUCGUGAGAUGUUGGGUUAAGUCCCGCAACGAGCGCAACCCUUGUCAUUAGUUGCCAGCAUUAAGUUGGGCACUCUAAUGAGACUGCCGGUGACAAACCGGAGGAAGGUGGGGAUGGCGUCAAGUCCUCAUGGCCCUUAUGGGUAGGGCCUCACACGUCAUACAAUGGUCGGUACAGAGGGUUGCCAAGCCGCGAGGUGGAGCCAAUCCCAGAAAGCCGAUCGUAGUCCGG
rnacentral:rRNA from 1 species